rfam:Cajanus cajan CcLG05_167, whole genome shotgun sequence.
GGACGUGAUGAUAGAAAUUGUCGCCCCAGUCUUAAGUUGCACCAAAAGGUGUAAGGUGGUGAUUGACGUUUUAUCUGAUCC